rnacentral:rRNA from 1 species
GCUCAGGAUGAACGCUGGCGGCGUGCUUAACACAUGCAAGUCGAACGAAGCACUCUAUUUGAUUUUCUUCGGAAAUGAAGAUUUUGUGACUGAGUGGCGGACGGGUGAGUAACGCGUGGGUAACCUGCCUCAUACAGGGGGAUAACAGCUGGAAACGGCUGCUAAUACCGCAUAAGCGCACAGGAUCGCAUGAUCCGGUGUGAAAAACUCCGGUGGUAUGAGAUGGACCCGCGUCUGAUUAGCCAGUUGGCAGGGUAACGGCCUACCAAAGCGACGAUCAGUAGCCGACCUGAGAGGGUGACCGGCCACAUUGGGACUGAGACACGGCCCAAACUCCUACGGGAGGCAGCAGUA